rnacentral:rRNA from 1 species
AUUGAACGCUGGCGGCAUGCUCUACACAUGCAAGUCGAACGGCAGCGCGGGGCAACCUGGCGGCGAGUGGCGAACGGGUGAGUAAUACAUCGGAACGUAUCCAGAAGUGGGGGAUAACGUAGCGAAAGUUACGCUAAUACCGCAUACGUUCUACGGAAGAAAGUGGGGGAUCGCAAGACCUCAUGCUUUUGGAGCGGCCGAUGUCUGAUUAGCUAGUUGGUGAGGUAAAGGCUCACCAAGGCGACGAUCAGUAGCUGGUCUGAGAGGACGACCAGCCACACUGGGACUGAGACACGGCCCAGACUCCUACGGGAGGCAGCAGUGGGGAAUUUUGGACAAUGGGCGCAAGCCUGAUCCAGCAAUGCCGCGUGAGUGAAGAAGGCCUUCGGGUUGUAAAGCUCUUUUGUCAGGGAAGAAACGGCUGAGGUUAAUACCUUCGGCUAAUGACGGUACCUGAAGAAUAAGCACCGGCUAACUACGUGCCAGCAGCCGCGGUAA